AUUGAACGCUGGCGGCAUGCCUUACACAUGCAAGUCGAACGGCAGCACGGGUGCUUGCACCUGGUGGCGAGUGGCGAACGGGUGAGUAAUACAUCGGAACAUGUCCUGUAGUGGGGGAUAGCCCGGCGAAAGCCGGAUUAAUACCGCAUACGAUCCACGGAUGAAAGCGGGGGACCUUCGGGCCUCGCGCUAUAGGGUUGGCCGAUGGCUGAUUAGCUAGUUGGUGGGGUAAAGGCCUACCAAGGCGACGAUCAGUAGCUGGUCUGAGAGGACGACCAGCCACACUGGGACUGAGACACGGCCCAGACUCCUACGGGAGGCAGCAGUGGGGAAUUUUGGACAAUGGGCGAAAGCCUGAUCCAGCAAUGCCGCGUGUGUGAAGAAGGCCUUCGGGUUGUAAAGCACUUUUGUCCGGAAAGAAAUCCUUGACUCAAAUACAGUCGGGGGAUGACGGUACCGGAAGAAUAAGCACCGGCUAACUACGUG
rnacentral:rRNA from 1 species